rnacentral:rRNA from 1 species
GACGAACGCUGGCGGCGUGCCUAACACAUGCAAGUCGAGCGAUGAAAUCCCUUCGGGGAUGGAUUAGCGGCGGACGGGUGAGUAACACGUGGGCAACCUACCUCAAAGUGGGGGAUAGCCUCCCGAAAGGGAGAUUAAUACCGCAUAAGAAGUAGAAGUCGCAUGGCUUCAGCUUUAAAGGAGUAAUUCGCUAUGAGAUGGACCCGCGGCGCAUUAGCUAGUUGGUGAGGUAACGGCUCACCAAGGCGACGAUGCGUAGCCGACCUGAGAGGGUGAUCGGCCACAUUGGAACUGAGACACGGUCCAGACUCCUACGGGAGGCAGCAGUGGGGAAUAUUGCACAAUGGGGGAAACCCUGAUGCAGCAACGCCGCGUGAGUGAUGAAGGCCUUCGGGUGGUAAAGCUCUGUCUUUUGGGACGAUAAUGACGGUACCAAAGGAGGAAGCCACGGCUAACUACGUGCCAGCCGCCGCAGUAAAAC